CCUACGGGUGGCUGCAGUGGGGAAUAUUGCACAAUGGGCGCAAGCCUGAUGCAGCCAUGCCGCGUGUGUGAAGAAGGCCUUCGGGUUGUAAAGCACUUUCAGCCGGGAGGAAGGCGUUAAGGUUAAUAACCUUGUCGAUUGACGUUACCCGCAGAAGAAGCACCGGCUAACUCCGUGCCAGCAGCCGCGGUAAUACGGAGGGUGCAAGCGUUAAUCGGAAUUACUGGGCGUAAAGCGCACGCAGGCGGUCUGUCAAGUCGGAUGUGAAAUCCCCGGGCUCAACCUGGGAACUGCAUUCGAAACUGGCAGGCUAGAGUCUUGUAGAGGGGGGUAGAAUUCCAGGUGUAGCGGUGAAAUGCGUAGAGAUCUGGAGGAAUACCGGUGGCGAAGGCGGCCCCCUGGACAAAGACUGACGCUCAGGUGCGAAAGCGUGGGGAGCAAACAGGAUUAGAUACCCGUGUAGUC
rnacentral:rRNA from 1 species